UAGGAGCACCUUCGUGGUGUGACUGCGUACCUUUUGUAUAAUGGGUCAGCGACUUAUAUUCAGUAGCAAGGUUAACCAUCUAGGGGAGCCGUAGAGAAAUCGAGUCUUAACUGGGCGUCGAGUUGCUGGAUAUAGACCCGAAACCAGGUGAUCUAGCCAUGGGCAGGUUGAAGGUGAGGUAACACUUACUGGAGGACCGAACCGACUAAUGUUGAAAAAUUAGCGGAUGACUUGUGGCUAGGGGUGAAAGGCCAAUCAAACCUGGAGAUAGCUGGUUCUCCCCGAAAGCUAUUUAGGUAGCGCCUCGGACGAAUACUACUGGGGGUAGAGCACUGUUAAGGCUAGGGGGUCAUCCCGACUUACCAACCCUUUGCAAACUCCGAAUACCAGUAAGUACUAUCCGGGAGACACACGGCGGGUGCUAACGUCCGUCGUGGAGAGGGAAACAACCCA
rnacentral:rRNA from 1 species